UGGGGAAUAUUGCACAAUGGGGGAAACCCGUGAUGCAGCGACGCCGCGUGGAGGAAGAAGGUCUUCGGAUUGUAAACUCCUGUCCCAGGGGACGAUAAUGACGGUACCCUGGGAGGAAGCACCGGCUAACUACGUGCC
rnacentral:rRNA from 1 species